rnacentral:lncRNA from 1 species
UUUUGUUAAAAUAGUAUUAAUUUUGUGUUUUUAGAUGAUAAAUAGUAUUUUUUUUUAAAUAAAUAAAUGUUUUUGCUAUUUUUAGUAAAUGUAAAAUUUUGUUUUUAGAAUUAUUAGGAUUUUAUUUUGCUAAUUAAACUCUUGAAUUCUUCCUUUUUGCAGAUUGGGCUGUUAUGUGGGUUGUGUAAGGGCUGAUGUUUAAAUGGGUGCACUUGAUGAGUAAAUAAAGUUGGAAGCUGAUUCUGUUCAGAUUGUAGAUUGGGCCAAUAAAAUUUCAUCUGGGUCGUAGAUGCUAAUUCUCUUUUGCUAUGUUGCUGCUGCAAUACACUUUGAAAACACGCUGUUGAAAUUGGCUGGACUUGGGCAGCACUUAAGUAAAACGGUGUGUUUCAAGCUGCAAAUUCCUAAGGGAUCAUUCACACUCGUGAUUCAAAUCGGAAGGAGUGUUGAGCUGGAACAGUUGGAGACCAGGUUCAGAGUUAGUUGAAGGCCAAACGAGAAGCUUCUGAGUUAGUUUGUGAUUCCUCCCAUUUUCCCCUUUUCUCUCUUUUUCUGUUUUUGAUCUUUUCCUAUAAAAGGAAGUCUUUGUAAUAAACAAAGUGUGUGCACUGGGUGAUAGGCAGUGUACUUAGCUUAGGUUUUUCACAUUCUCUCGCUUUAGUUUUAGGUUUUACUGCUUUCUUAGAAGUAGAUACACUCUUUGCUUUACUGAGGAUUCUGAUUGUUCUUUGAUUCUGGAUUUCACCGAGUUGCGAGGGUGACAGGCCGUGAUUUUCGGUGAUUUCUGGUAUCUUGUAUUUUCAUUUCAGCUUUCAAUACAAAGUUUAUGUCUCUGUUCUAGUCUACAUUUCUUUGAUUGCACUUUCAAUUCAAUUUACAUUUCUUGCCUCUGCCAUUUUAAUUUUCCAGCACUGUUAUAGGUUUUAUUCCAUUCUUGUAUUGAUUUUAUUCGUUUGAUAUUCAUUUAUGAGUUUGU